rnacentral:lncRNA from 1 species
AACAAUUUGGCAGUCAAGUUAUCAGGGAUUCCUGUUUUUUUAGAAGGAUCUUGAGGGAGUGAGUAUGGUGUUUAUGGCUAUAUUUAGUGUGCAAAUAUGUUAACUCCUGACACACUAUGAGAACUCCAAAAAUGUACUUGGAAAUUACAAGUACAUUAUUAAUGUAUGCAGGAAAUCAGGAUAUAUAGGUAGAUAGAUAGAUAGAUAGAUAUAGAUAUAGGGAGAUAGAUAUAUACAAACAUAUAUAGAUACCUAUCUAGAUGUAUUUUUUGAGAC